rnacentral:rRNA from 1 species
AAGGAGCCCUGGCGGCGUGGAUAAGACAUGCAAGUCGAACGAGAGAAUUGCUAGCUUGCUAAUAAUUCUCUAGUGGCGCACGGGUGAGUAACACGUGAGUAACCUGCCCCCGAGAGCGGGAUAGCCCUGGGAAACUGGGAUUAAUACCGCAUAGUAUCGAAAGAUUAAAGCAGCAAUGCGCUUGGGGAUGGGCUCGCGGCCUAUUAGUUAGUUGGUGAGGUAACGGCUCACCAAGGCGAUGACGGGUAGCCGGUCUGAGAGGAUGUCCGGCCACACUGGAACUGAGACACGGUCCAGACACCUACGGGUGGCAGCAGUCGAGAAUCAUUCACAAUGGGGGAAACCCUGAUGGUGCGACGCCGCGUGGGGGAAUGAAGGUCUUCGGAUUGUAAACCCCUGUCAUGUGGGAGCAAAUUAAAAAGAUAGUACCACAAGAGGAAGAGACGGCUAACUCUGUGCCAGCAGCCGCGGUAAUACAGAGGUCUCAAGCGUUGUUCGGAAUCACUGGGCGUAAAGCGUGCGUAGGCUGUUUCGUAAGUCGUGUGUGAAAGGCGCGGGCUCAACCCGCGGACGGCACAUGAUACUGCGAGACUAGAGUAAUGGAGGGGGAACCGGAAUUCUCGGUGUAGCAGUGAAAUGCGUAGAUAUCGAGAGGAACACUCGUGGCGAAGGCGGGUUCCUGGACAUUAACUGACGCUGAGGCACGAAGGCCAGGGGACCC